rnacentral:lncRNA from 1 species
CAUGUUCACCAAGACUAUCGUUGCCCUCGCCCUUGUGGCCGUUGCUGCAUCUGCUCCUUCUCUACCAGCCUAUGGCUAUGCUCCUCAGCCAGCCUAUGAGGUCCCUGCCAAGUACGACUUCAACUAUGCCGUGAAGGACGACUACUCCGGCAACGACUUCGGUCACCAAGAAGCUCGCGAUGGUUAUAAUACUCAGGGUUCCUACUACGUCCAGCUCCCCGACGGUCGUCUGGAGAAGGUCGCCUACACUGUCAACGGCGACUCCGGCUACGUGGCCGAGGUCAGCUACGAGGGUGAGGCCCAGUACCCCGAGUACAAGCCUGCCUACAACCCAGUACCUGUCUAUAAGCCUACACCAG